rnacentral:rRNA from 1 species
GACGUAGGGCGCGAGCGUUGUCCGGAUUUAUUGGGCGUAAAGAGCUCGUAGGCGGCUUGUCGCGUCGACUGUGAAAACCCGAGGCUCAACUUCGGGCUUGCAGUCGAUACGGGCAGGCUAGAGUUCGGUAGGGGAGACUGGAAUUCCUGGUGUAGCGGUGAAAUGCGCAGAUAUCAGGAGGAACACCAAUAGCGAAGGCAGCUCGCUGGGACGUUACUGACACUGAGGCGCGAAAGCGUGGGGAGCGAACAGG